rnacentral:rRNA from 1 species
AUUGAACGCUGGCGGCAGGCCUAACACAUGCAAGUCGAACGGUAACAGGAAGACGCUUGCUUCUUUGCUGACGAGUGGCGGACGGGUGAGUAAUGUCUGGGAAACUGCCUGAUGGAGGGGGAUAACUACUGGAAACGGUAGCUAAUACCGCAUAACGUCGCAAGACCAAAGAGGGGGACCUUCGGGCCUCUUGCCAUCGGAUGUGCCCAGAUGGGAUUAGCUAGUAGGUGGGGUAACGGCUCACCUAGGCGACGAUCCCUAGCUGGUCUGAGAGGAUGACCAGCCACACUGGAACUGAGACACGGUCCAGACUCCUACGGGAGGCAGCAGUGGGGAAUAUUGCACAAUGGGCGCAAGCCUGAUGCAGCCAUGCCGCGUGUAUGAAGAAGGCCUUCGGGUUGUAAAGUACUUUCAGCGGGGAGGAAGGGAGUAAAGUUAAUACCUUUGCUCAUUGACGUUACCCGCAGAAGAAGCACCGACUAACUCCGUG